CUUGUGCAGCAUCGACGGCCUCCAGCUCAGGACACAACGCACCUGGGGCAGAGGGAUGGCCACCAGCAGAUCUCGGCCUUGCCAUAGAGAAAAUGAUCCGGGAGAUCAGGAGAUCCCUGCCCGAAAGGUCUCCCUCUGCUCAGGAUGAUGUUAGUGUUGCCCCUGAGUCUUCAGGAGGGGAGCCUGUAGACAGAGCUGCAGCAGAGGAAAUUUCAUCUGACACGGAGAGCUGCAGGAACAGUUCCCCAGAGCCCGAAGAGCCUGAUCCCAUGUGAUCGACCUCUCCAGGAGGGCUGGCCUGUGUAGCAGGAAGAGACAGAGGGAGAGCCUGGAACAUCGGGCAAGUUGACUUCCUCUGUCUCUAGUUAUAUUUAUAGAUGUAUAUAGUUAUCUUUGUUUAUCUAGGUAGUUGUAUUUAUAGAUUUAUGUAAUUAUAUUUAUGUAUCUACACAGAUAGAGAUCUGCACAGUUAAUUUCUUUUUCAUUUUAGAUGUUUAUCGUUAUAGCUUUAGAUGUGUUUUUGUAGGUGUGCACGUUUUCAUUUAUACGUGUGUAUAAUUACAUGUACAUAUAUAUAUUUCUAAAUGCAUAUUUCUAUUUUAUAUGGGGUUUUAGCUACAUAGAUUGAUAUGUGUGUGAGCCUCUUUUUAAGCUCUUACCCUGGUCUGCUUCCUCGCUCACCUCUGGCUUUUCCCCCUGUGCCCCCUGUGUCCCCUCUCCCUGGGCUGGGUCCGAGCUGGCGGCCGGGCCGGGCGCAGCAGCAGUUCCUGCCCCGGAUGUCCCUGGAGUGCUGGGAGCUGCCGGUGGCCCCAGGCACUGUCCCCUGAGGAGCUGCUGAAGGACGCUGCAAUGAAGACCACGAGGACCGCCGGAGACUGCAGGGAGCCAGCAGGGAGAAGCCGAGGGCCAGCAGCAGGAGCAGUGAGUGGGGCCCUGCUGCUGCCAGCCUGGAGAGGGCUUGGAUGUCCCAUCUGCUGUCCCUGUCCAGGAGAGCUGCUCUGCCUGGAGGAGGAGACCGAGGGAGCGGCUUCAAAGAUGGGGCAGCUGAGAUUCCUCUGCUUCGAGUUCCAUUUAAAGAGUCUGGACUUGCACAUAGAGAGGGAUAUGUACAUAUGUAGGCUUCUAUUUGUAUGGGAAUAUUCCUAUAUGUAUGUUAUUAUAUUUAUGUUUUUAUGGAUGUAUUACAUGUAUAUGUAUGCAUAUAUUUACAUAUAUGUUUAUAAUUACAUCUAUGUGUACAUGUAUGUGUCUCAGUAUACAUGUAUGUUGUUGUAUCUGUUUAAUUUCCUAGGUUUACAGCUGUGUAGGUAUCUAUUUGUGUUUAUGCAGUUAUAGGUAUAUGUAUCUUUAAAUGUUGUAUUGGAAUUUGUAUUGGUCGAUAUGUCUGUUUUUAUAUUUUUAAUGUAUAUUGAUCUAUUUCUUUCUAUUUAAUGAUAUUUACAUAUGUGUCUAGAUGUAUAGCAGUAUGUUUGUAUUGAUACAGUUGUGUGUAUGUUUGGAUUGAUGAUAUUUUUAUACUUAUAGAUAAGUUUGUUUUAUAUAUCUACUGAUAUAUAUAUAUUGUAUGUAAUAUGUAAUGUUUAUAUUUACAUCUGUAGAUUUUUAUACUUUUAUAUGUAUUUAUAUAGAUGUUAUAUAUCUGUGUAUUUAAUUGCAUUUCAACAUGUAUGAAGUGAUGUAGUUGUAUAAUUCUAUCUAUUGUAUUCUUAGUGUAGGGCUGUUUAGAGAGCAAAUGCACAUUUUAGUAUUUCUGUAUGGGCUGUCUGUAUUGCUUGUAGUAAUAUGUAAUAAAUUAAGUUAAGUCCUUAAACACCUAAUUAAUCUUUGUGUAUAGUGAGUUGUUGCAGAGAGUGGCAAUAAAUAAGUGUUUCUUAUCUGAA